AACGCUGGCGGCGUGCCUAAUACAUGCAAGUCGUACGAGGGAAGUCCAGCUUGCUGGACGGAACGAGUGGCGAACGGGUGAGUAAUACGUAAGCAACCUGCCUGCAAGGACUGGGAUAACACCUGGAAACGGGCGCUAAUACCGGAUAGGUAACAAAGGGGCAUCCCUAUGUUAUUAAAGGUUAGAAACACAAGCAGAUGGGCUUACGGUGCAUUAGCUAGUUGGUGAGGUAACGGCCUACCAAGGCGAUGAUGCAUAGCCGGCCUGAGAGGGUGAACGGCCACAUUGGGACUGAGACACGGCCCAGACUCCUACGGGAGGCAGCAGUAGGGAAUUUUCGGCAAUGGACGAAAGUCUGACCGAGCAACGCCCGCGUGAGUGAAGAAGGUUUUCGGAUUGUAAAGCUCUGUUGUAAGGGAAGAACAGCACGGAAAGAAUCCGUGAAUGACGGUACCUUACCAGAAAGCCACGGCUAACUACGUGCCAGCCGCGGC
rnacentral:rRNA from 1 species